ACAUGUAGAAGUUGGAAGGAAGAUAAAAGCAUUUCAAUUUCUUGAAGCUAAAACAACUAUGGCUUCCCAACAAUAUGUGUAUCCACCUACUCAAGAACAGUCAUACGAUGUGUCUCCACCCACCCAAUCAUAUUCCGAUGUGUAUCCACCGCCUAAUAGUAAAAUACAGGCAUUGUUUGCACCAGGCACAGACCCGGAGAUCAUAAGAGCCUUUCGAGCUUAUGAUGAGGAUGGUGAUGGAUUCAUUGAUGACGACGAGUUGCAGAAAAUAGUUUUCCAUUCUGCAGCAUAUGGAAAUAAAGUUGCUUAAAGAUUUAUCUGUUAAAAAUAAAGCAAUUUUGUGAACUGGGUUUGUGAGCAGCUGAUGUGGCCCCUGAAGAUUGAACAAGUGCGGGUGGAAGUCAAGGGUCGAAACCCUAUUUUCUCGCGCAUCUUUGGACAUGAAGAAACCGGAUUGAAAAGCUUGAGGGAAUCAUUUAGAAUGAAUUAAAGGUUGUUGGAAGGAUUUUGGGGCUGCAAUGAAUGUCCUAUGGGUUAACUCUAUUUUACAGAUUUGUGGGAUUGGAAACCAUGGAUAUUAUCAAUGUGAUAUAUGUUGGGAAUUUUAUUCUCAUGCUUAUGGAUCCUCAUGGAGUUUAAUAAUAUGUAUGCAUCCUUAUUUUUUAUUUUAUUUUUUGGUUACCUUGUGGUCAUGUAUAGUGAGAAGGUUUUUAUGUUGGAUGAGUAUUGACAUCCUAAUCACA